rnacentral:rRNA from 1 species
GAUGAACGCUGGCGGCGUGCCUAAUACAUGCAAGUCGAGCGAAUGACGAGGAGCUUGCUCCUCUGAUUUAGCGGCGGACGGGUGAGUAACACGCGGGUAACCUGCCUGUAAGACGGGGAUAACUCCGGGAAACCGGAGCUAAUACCGGAUGAUAACGAGAAGCGCCUGCUUCUUUUUUGAAAGUCGGUUUCGGCUGACGCUUACAGAUGGGCCCGCGGCGCAUUAGCUAGUUGGUGAGGUAACGGCGCACCAAGGCGACGAUGCGUAGCCGACCUGGGAGGGUGAUCGGCCACACUGGGACUGAGACACGGCCCAGACUCCUACGGGAGGCAGCAGUAGGGAAUCUUCGGCAAUGGACGAAAGUCUGACCGAGCAACGCCGCGUGAGCGAUGAAGGCCUUCGGGUCGUAAAGCUCUGUUGUCAGAGAAGUACAAGUACCGGAGUAACUGCCGGUACCUUGACGGUACCUGACCAGAAAGCCACGGCUAACUACGUGCCAGCCGCCGCCGUAAAAC